CGUGUGCGCGCCCCCUCUGGCUUUGCGGGGAGGGCAAAGGGGGCGGGGGGAGGGGGUCGCUUCUCUACCUGCCCGCGGUCACGAAGCAGGAAGCGUGUGCUGAGGUUGUCCCCCAGCCCCCUCCUAUCGCCUUGGCGGGGCCUCGCAGCGUGGCCCCUCGCCCGGUCCGGCCCCCUUGGGCGCUCGUUGCUUCCCGCUCCCGCAGAGACCAGCUCUUGCCAUCUCCCUCAACUCCAGAGCUGCCCUCAGCCCAUGAUUUCACUUCUAGUCGCUGAGCUGGACGUUAGGAAGAAAUUCAGCGGCUCUGGUGAGUCAGGGUCUCUGCUGGCCUCAUCCUCGCACGAACUAGCUGUGAGAGCAUCUGACUCGCGCUCCCUUGUCUUCCGGAAACUAAACCAAACAUCAGAUGACUCUACCGUGCAGAAAGAUGUGUGUUGACAGCUGGUUGCCAAACACAGUACUGGGGACAGCAGAGCCUCCAGCCCUUAUGAGCUUCGUCAUCCUCCUGGAUCUGUGAAACUGGCAUGCAGUCAGGAAUGCUAUUUGCAAAGGUCAUGAAUUCUCUUGGAGAAGUCCCUGAACAACCAACUACCCAGGACAGCUUACACUGAUGAGGAGCCUACGGUACUGCAUCCAAUCUGCUUUGCUCUCUUACCAGAUUAUACCAGAGUCCUAGAGUCUC